AAACAUAUCAAAAUUAAUUAAAGAAACACCAUAAGCACUGUAAACAUUGUAUCUUAUUGAAUUGCCUAUAGUGCAUUGAGUACACAUUCAUUCAGUGUAUUUCCGAGCAGUCUACCACUAAAUAAGGGUCACUGGGCACCUGCAGCACAGCACCACUUAGAAGUGUGGCUUAAGCAGAGAUUACUCACUUCCAACUAGACAUAUCAGUUGAUACCAGCAAUAGGAGCUGUAAUAAGCUGAAAGGUGUCAACACAGAGGAGAUGGGCUAAGG